CCUACGGGAGGCUGCAGUGGGGAAUAUUGGACAAUGGGCGAAAGCCUGAUCCAGCCAUGCCGCGUGUGUGAAGAAGGCCUUCGGGUUGUAAAGCACUUUCAGUGGGGAAGAAAGCCUUGGGGCUAAUACCCUCGAGGAAGGACAUCACCCACAGAAGAAGCACCGGCUAACUCCGUGCCAGCAGCCGCGGUAAUACGGAGGGUGCGAGCGUUAAUCGGAAUUACUGGGCGUAAAGCGCGCGUAGGCGGUCUGAUAAGCCGGUUGUGAAAGCCCCGGGCUCAACCUGGGAACGGCAUCCGGAACUGUCAGGCUAGAGAGCAGGAGAGGAAGGUAGAAUUCCCGGUGUAGAGGUGAAAUGCGUAGAGAUCGGGAGGAAUACCAGUGGCGAAGGCGGCCUUCUGGACUGACACUGACGCUGAGGUGCGAAAGCGUGGGUAGCAAACAGGAUUAGAUACCCUAGUAGUC
rnacentral:rRNA from 1 species